UAUGCUUCGAAAGUGUUACCAAAUUACCAAAUUGAUUGCUUUCAUAAUGAUGAAUUAAUGCAUGCACUAAUCCUAAUUGCAACAGAAAAUAAAUGCGUACAUUUAACAGUUUGGACAAUUUCAGACUCUUUGGUGUUUUUGUUUUGCAGCACUUCCAAUCCUGAAUGAAAUCUAAUUGUAUAAUUCUACAUAUAAAGGUCACCCCGGCACAAGUUUUACUCUGGAUGUUCUUCGUGACGCAACCCUCCCCAUUUUCCACACUUGAGACCAGCACUGAGAAUGGACUGUUAUGUGCAACCCUCCAGUGACUGGGGUCAAUUCUCUAACCAGACAGCGCAUUCCCUACAGCAGCAAACUGGAAGAAGGCUGUGAAAACAAGACUGUUUGAAAGUCUUACAUUGCAUCUAUUAGUGUGAGUU
ensembl:lncRNA